UACGGAGGGGGCUAGCGUUGUUCGGAAUUACUGGGCGUAAAGCGCGCGUAGGCGGCUUUGUAAGUUAGAGGUGAAAUCCCGGAGCUCAACUUCGGAACUGCCCUUGAUACAGCACGUCUUGAGUCCGGAAGAGGUGGGUGGAAUUCCUAGUGUAGAGGUGAAAUUCGUAGAUAUUAGGAAGAACACCGGUGGCGAAGGCGGCCCACUGGUCCGGUACUGACGCUGAGGUGCGAAAGCGUGGGGAGCAAACAGG
rnacentral:rRNA from 1 species